rnacentral:rRNA from 1 species
AGUCGAGCGAACGUAUUUGCGGAAGUUUUCGGAUGGAAGCGGAUGCGACUUAGCGGCGGACGGGUGAGUAACGCGUGGGUAACCUGCCUCAUACAGGGGGAUAACAGUUAGAAAUGACUGCUAAUACCGCAUAAGCGCACAGGACCGCAUGGUCCGGUGUGAAAAACUCCGGUGGUAUGAGAUGGACCCGCGUCUGAUUAGCUGGUUGGCGGGGUAACGGCCCACCAAGGCGACGAUCAGUAGCCGACCUGAGAGGGUGGCCGGCCACAUUGGGACUGAGACACGGCCCAAACUCCUACGGGAGGCAGCAGUGGGGAAUAUUGCACAAUGGGGGAAACCCUGAUGCAGCAACGCCGCGUGAGUGAAGAAGUAUUUCGGUAUGUAAAGCUCUAUCAGCAGGGAAGAAAAAAGACGGUACCUGACUAAGAAGCCCCGGCUAACUACGUGCCAGCAGCCGCGGUAAUACGUAGGGGGCAAGCGUUAUCCGGAUUUACUGGGUGUAAAGGGAGCGUAGACGGCAUAGCAAGUCUGAAGUGAAAGCCCGUGGCUCAACCGCGGAACUGCUUUGGAAACUGUUAAGCUGGAGUACUGGAGAGGCAAGCGGAACUCCUAGUGUAGCGGUGAAAUGCGUAGAUAUUAGGAGGAACACCAGUGGCGAAGGCGGCUUGCUGGACAGAGACUGACGUUGAGGCUCGAAAGCGUGGGGAGCAAACAGGAUUAGAUACCCUGGUAGUCCACGCGGUAAACGAUGAAUGCUAGGUGUUGGCGGGCAAAGCCCGUCGGUGCCGCCGCAAACGCAUUAAGCAUUCCACCUGGGGAGUACGUU